AUUGAACGCUGGCGGCAUGCUUUACACAUGCAAGUCGGACGAGUGGCGAACGGGUGAUUAACGCAUCGGAACGUACCGAGUAAUGGGGGAUAACUGUCCGAAAGGACAGCUAAUACCGCAUAUUAUUCGAGCGGCCGAUGUCUGAUUAGCUGGUUGGCGGGGUAAAGGCCCACCAAGGCGACGAUCAGUAGCGGGUCUGAGAGGAUGACCAGCCACACUGGAACUGAGACACGGUCCAGACUCCUACGGGAGGCAGCAGUGGGGAAUAUUGCACAAUGGGCGCAAGCCUGAUGCAGCCAUGCCGCGUGAGGGAUGACGGCCUUCGGGUUGUAAAGCGCUGUUAAUCGGGACGCGGUACCGGAAUAGAAAGCCACGGCUAACUACGGGCCAGCAGCCGCGGUAAUUC
rnacentral:rRNA from 1 species